UCCGUGAGGCGGAGGCGCUCCCUACCUGCUCCCGGCCGAGGCUGCUGAGGUGCAUCAGUCCACCAAUACAUGAGUUUCUGCCGUUUCUUGGCAAAAAUGGCAACCAGUGAUGCUGUUCUGAAGAGAUUGGAGCAGAAGGGUGCAGAAGCAGAUCAAAUUAUUGAAUAUCUUAAGCAACAAGUUGCUCUUCUUAAGGAGAAAGCAAUUUUGCAGGCAACUUUGAGAGAAGAGAAGAAACUUCGAGUUGAAAAUGCUAAAUUGAAGAAGGAAAUUGAAGGAUUGAAACAAGAGCUAAUUAAGGCAGAAAUUCAAAAUGGAGUAAAACAAAUACCAUUUCCAUCUGGUACUCCACUAAAAACUGAUUCUACGGUUUCUGAAAAUGAGAUACAGUCUAUACCAAUAACCGUAUCUCCUGGUGCUAAAGAGCAAGUAAAAGGAGGAGGAGGAGGAGAAGAAAAGAAGAUGAAAGAGAAAACUGAAGAGAAAGGAGAGAAAAAGGAGAAAAAACGGCAACCAGUAGCAGGAAGUGCUGACUCUAAGCCUGUUGAUGUUUCCCGUCUGGAUCUUCGAAUUGGUUGUAUCAUCACUGCCAGAAAACACCCUGAUGCAGAUUCUUUGUAUGCAGAAGAAGUAGAUGUUGGAGAAACAGCCCCAAGAACAGUGGUCAGUGGCCUGGUGAAUCAUGUUCCUCUUGAACAGAUGCAAAAUCGGAUGGUGGUUUUUACUUUGUAACCUGAAACCUGCAAAGAUGCGGGGAGUAGUAUCUCAGGCAAUGGUGAUGUGUGCAAGUUCACCAGAGAAAGUAGAAAUCUUGGCACCUCCUAAUGGAUCUGUUCCUGGGGACAGAAUUACUUUUGAUGCUUUCCCUGGAGAGCCUGACAAGGAGCUGAAUCCUAAGAAGAAGAUUUGGGAGCAGACCUAGCCUGAUCUGUACACUAAUGAUGUAUGCGUGGCUACAUACAAAGGCGCUCCAUUUGAGGUGAAAGGGAAGGGAGUGUGUAGGGCUCAAACUAUGGCCAACAGUGGAAUAAAAUAAAGCACUUCAGUUUCUGAAAUACUUUAGAGAAAGCAAUAAAAAGAAAUACAUUUGUCACUCAUA